ACAAAUGGCUGCGAGAUGGACAAGACGCUAGCUUCUGCUCGUUCAGGUCUGGAUACAUGCUUGGCCAGUCCAACACCUUUACCCUCAGCUUAAUUAUCAAGGCAUCGUUUGUAUUGGAGGUGUGUUUGGAGUUGUUAUCAUGUAUGAAUACUGCCCUGCAGCCCAGUCUCUGAAGGGAGGGGAUCAUGCUCUGCUUCAGUAUGUCAUAGUACAUGUUGACAUUCAUGGUUCCCUCAGUGACCUGUAGCUCCCCCAGUGCCUGCAGCACUCAUGCAGCCCCAGACCAUGACACUCCCACCACCAUGCUUGACUGUAGGCAAGACACACUUGUCUCUGUACCCCUCACCUGGUUGCUACCACAGACGCUCCACACCAUCUGAUCCAAAUACGUUUAUCUUGUUCUCAUCAGGCCACAGAACAGGGUUCCAGUAAUCCAUGUACUUAGUCUGCUUGUCUUCAGCAAACUGUUUGUGGCUUUCUUGUGCAUCAUCAUUAGAAGAGGCUUCCUUCUGGGGCGACAGCCAUGCAGACCAAUUUGAUGCAGUGUGUGGCAUAUGGUCUGAGCACUGAUAGGCUACACCAACCCCCAGCCACUCCACACCCACACCUUCAACCUCUGCAGCAAUGCUGGCAGCAUUCGUACGUCUAUUUCCCAAACACAACUGCUGGAUAUGACACUGACCACGUGCACUCAACUUCUUUGGUGGAUUAUGGCGAGGCCUGUCCUGAGUGUAACCUGUCCUGUUAAACCACUGUAUGGUCUUAACACACCUGCUCCCCAUUCACACCUGAGACCUUGUAACACUAACAAAUCACAUGAAACCGGGGAAAGAAAAUGCCUAAUUGGGCCCAAUUUGUAUAUUUUUACUUAUAUUUAUAUAUUAGAGCCAUAUGAAGAUAAAUAAAGAUUCUUAUAUUUUCUAUAAAAAAAUCUAAAAUUAAGUGUAAGCAUGGACUGAAUACAAAAACCUUUACUUAAUUAGACUGCGAAGCAGAUUGUAACCUUAUAUCCAUUUAACAGUGUGAAACCAUGUCAUCUCACACACACACACACACACACACACACACACACACACACACACACACACACACACACACACACACAAACACACAGAUAGCAAUCAUUACACAUAAUCUAUACACACAGACACUGUAUUAGGAAUCAUGUGGAAACAGCACACAGUAUAAUAUCUUGCAGAUACAUGUCAAGAUCUUCAGUUAACAUUCCAUUAAAAAUCAGAAUAAAGAAAAAUGUGAUUUCUGUAACUUUAACCACAGCUUGUGGUUGGAGGAUUUGCAAUAGUUGUGAUUCAGAGAUAUGUAGAAUGAAGUGAACCGGUUCCUCACACAAAGACUGAGAAAUACAAUCUGUUUAUAGGUCAUUUGUGUCUUGACUGUUGUUUGUGUGAACAAUUUUAAGGUUAGUUGUUUAAUACAUAAUAUGAACCUGUUUGAAUAUGAUGCUCUAUUAGACACACAGGAUUAUCAUACACAUGCUUGAAUCAAUUAAGAACAGAUGUUACAAGUUCAAUUACUUGCAAUAAAAAAAGGAUCACUUACUAAAUGUUAUAAUGAUCAUGGUAUU